rnacentral:rRNA from 1 species
GACGAACGCUGGCGGCGUGCCUAAUACAUGCAAGUAGAACGCUGAAGGAGGAGCUUGCUUCUCUGGAUGAGUUGCGAACGGGUGAGUAACGCGUAGGUAACCUGCCUGGUAGCGGGGGAUAACUAUUGGAAACGAUAGCUAAUACCGCAUAGAGUAGAUGUUGCAUGACAUUUGCUUAAAAGGUGCAAUUGCAUCACUACCAGAUGGACCUGCGUUGUAUUAGCUAGUUGGUGGGGUAACGGCUCACCAAGGCGACGAUACAUAGCCGACCUGAGAGGGUGAUCGGCCACACUGGGACUGAGACACGGCCCAGACUCCUACGGGAGGCAGCAGUAGGGAAUCUUCGGCAAUGGACGGAAGUCUGACCGAGCAACGCCGCGUGAGUGAAGAAGGUUUUCGGAUCGUAAAGCUCUGUUGUAAGAGAAGAACGAGUGUGAGAGUGGAAAGUUCACACUGUGACGGUAUCUUACCAGAAAGGGACGGCUAACUACGUG